GUGCCCGUAGCUCAACUGGAUAGAGCAACGGCCUUCUAAGCCGUAGGUUGCAGGUUCGAGCCCUGCCGGGUGCGCCA
rnacentral:tRNA from 1 species